GGAAUAUUGCACAAUGGGCGCAAGCCUGAUGCAGCAACGCCCCGUGAGGGAUGAAGGCCUUCGGGUUGUAAACCUCUUUUAGCAGGGAAGAAGCGAAAGUGACGGUACCUGCAGAAAAAGCACCGGCUAACUACGCGCCAGCAGCCGCGGUAAUACGUAGGGUGCAAGCGUUGUCCGGAAUUAUUGGGCGUAAAGAGCUCGUAGGCGGUUUGUCACGUCUGCUGUGAAAAUCCAAGGCUCAACCUUGGACUUGCAGUGGGUACGGGCAGGCUAGAGUGCGGUAGGGGAGAUGGGAAUUCCUGGUGUAGCGGUGGAAUGCGCAGAUAUCAGGAGGAACACCAAUGGCGAAGGCACAUCUCUGGGCCGUAACUGACGCUGAGGAGCGAAAGCGUGGGGAGC
rnacentral:rRNA from 1 species